UCUGGAUUCCAUCACAAAGGCCGCAGGAUGCCAAUGGAGGACUCUUGGCUUCUAUGUCCUUGUAGUGCCCGGCCGGCGCAAUUUUGGAAACAUAGUAGGUGGUUCUUAAUUACUUCAUCUCCCCCCAAAAUUACUGCACUUCCCUAAAGAGCUCAGGAAAGACCUCCCUGAGAAGGUGACAUUUAAGAUUUGAGAGAGGGCAGAGUGACUGGUACCCCUGGGCAUGGUUGGUUCAUCGGCCCCUCAGAGGUGGGCCGUGACAGCAGCGGUGGCCCAACUUCCAUCUUCUACUUUCUUUCCCCAGUGCCCACCCCUGGGACUCAGCAGAUGAGCACAGACUGUGUGUUUGGACUUCGAGGGGUUACAGAGUUGGGAGGGACUCAGGCCCUGCCCUAGAAUCACCUACAAUCCCUGGAGGAGAAAGCUGAGCCAACACUUGACUUCUGCACCCAGUGGAACCCAGAAAGCACCCCUGCCGGGGUCUCCCAGCUGCGGGAGGGCACGGAGCCAGGAGCUCCUGCUGUCUCCUUCGGGAUUGAGGAGGAAGCUCUGUUCACUGCUCUCCACAAGCUCUGGCUUCCUUCCCUCCGGGAGGAGUGGCUGCUCCCUGGCUCUGUGGAGCUGACCCUCUGCAGUGUCCUUGCUGCCGGCUGACACUGCUGGGGUUCACCCACCAGGACAAAGAAGCCCAGGGAGAAAAUUGAGGAUCAGAGGAAAGCUAGUAGGGAUUCAUUCACAGAGUGUCUGCGUGUGCCAGGCGGUGUUCCGGAAGCUUAUGGCACAUGAGUGAGCAAAACAGGAAAAGAACUUCAUCCCUGAGGAGCUGACAUGCUGGCAUCAGGAGUCAGACACAACACUGCUUUGAGGGAGUCCAGCAUCCCCUCCAUUUGACAGAUGAGCAAACUGAGACCUGGUGACUAAAGAGACUUUGCCAAGGUCACACAGCUGUGGCGAGGUGACCCGGGGACUCAGACCUGUCGGCUGGAAGCCCUCUUAACCUCAUCCGCCAGGAGGAGGCCAAGGAAUGUGGCUUCUCCACACUUCCCGUCACCACCAUACUUGGCCAAGUGGGACAGGCCCAAGGCCCAAAGGACUGAGCCACACAGAGUUGCACUGGACCCAGCUGGGGUGAAAGCCACACUCCGGUGUCUGGAAGCAAGUGACCCUCAUGCCGUGCUCGGGCUAAACUGGAAGCAAACAUGGGACUCUGGGCCUCAGGACAACUGAAGCAUUUUAAAAAAUUAUUUGUCUAACCAUCUGAAAACCAAGGCCAAUUUGUGUAAGGUGUUGUCAGAAACAGACUCCCGUCAGCUUCUGACAAUCCCCACAGACGCAAAUUUUCAAGGGCCCAGCGUGGAGGGUCUGAAAGACCCGUGGACUGGGGCCAGGGAGACCUGGGCUCUUCUCCAAGACCUACUAACUCCUACCCACUGUGUGCCCUUAUAGGAGCCCCAGCCCUCUCUGGACCUCAGUUUCCUCAUCUGUAAGUGAGGUGGUGAACUCACCUGUCCCCCAACGUGCCUUUUCCACUCUGGCUUUCAUGCCCCAGGUCUGCGGGACUGAUGGAGUGCAAGUCCACAUAAUUUUUUUUAAAUGCACUUAUUAAGCACCUACUCUGUGUCAGCUCCUGUACACAUAGCCUAAGAUUACCUCAGUUCAGCUCCAUGAAAGAGAAACAGAAUCAUCCCAUUUUGUAGAGGGGGAAGCUGAGCUCUCGAGGUGUGAUAUCACAGCUGGGAUUCCCAUUUCACAGAGCAGGACA